GGUCGUAACUGGGCCAGUGGUGACUACUGUAGGUGGUUUUGUUGUUGAAAUCGUUACGGUUGUCUCUUCUGAUGUGGUGGUUUCCACAGGUUUUGCUGUUGUCCCCUUAGUUGUUGUUGGUUGUACUUUAGUUGUUGUGGUACUUACAGAUGGUGCUGAUGUUACAACGGUUGUUUCUGGACCUGUCGUUGUGAUUACUGGCACUGGGGUCGUAGUUUCAACAACAACUGUUGUAGAGGUUGUAACUGGGCCAGUGGUGACUACUGUAGGUGGUUUUGUUGUUGAAAUCGUUACAGUUGUCUCUUCUGAUGUGGUGGUUUCCACAGGUUUUGCUGUUGUCCCCUUAGUUGUUGUUG